GCUCGCCAUAGCCAAUGGCAUUCUCAACUUCGAGCCAGACGGCUCUCUGCGCCGCCGGUGCUGCAUGAAGUCGAACACACCUAUUCACACGGACGUUUUUGAGUAGGCCUUUGAUUUGCCCUUGAUAUAAUACAUGAAGAAAUGUUUACCAUUCCAAUGUUUGGUAUCUUUUUUUCAGCACAACAUCACCUGUGACUUGUUAUUUAAACAGGCUCUGACUAGGUCCUAAAAUGUUAAGAACGUCUGACUCCGCCCUUCAGCUUCACAUGCGUCGCCAUUUUGAUAUCGAGCUCAACGAAAAGGAGGCUCGAUUGGACAACAAAACAGAGUGAUGUCCUACUGCUGCGUCCCCGAGUGCAAGUCCAACAAAAAGAAGGAAUCUGGCAAACGGAAAACAUUUCACCGCUUCCCUGUCAAUUCUGCAAUUCGUCGAGAAUGGGUUAUUAAAAUAAGGAGAGAUAUUGGUCCGCAUUUUAAGAUCGCAGACAACACCAGAGUGUGUUCCGAUCACUUUCCUGAAGAGUCCUUUACUAAGACGCUAUGUGGCAUCAGGAAACUGAGGGAGGGUGUUGUACCAACUCUCUUCACAUGGUCCUCAAUCAAGCAUGGCAGGCGCACGAUUGUUAGAACGGCAAGUCAUGUUACCACUGCCACCUGUGGAGAGGAUGGACUGGGCGAAGAAUCAGAUGAGUCAGAGUAAAAACACCCAAAGCACUGGGUGUGUGGGAGAGGAUAGAUCGAGGCGUGGGAGAAGACCCACCACAGGGUAAGAAGAUGGAUGAAUUACUGGCAGACCACGACUACGCUUCGGUUCUGGAUCCCGCUGUUCAUGCACUCCAAGAAAACGAAUCUCUCAAAGAAGAGAUUCUCCAUCUUAAGCAACGUGUCGAAGCACUCAUUAUGAAGCAACGGCUUGGCGUUCACCAUUUUGCUAGCUCAGACAGGGACAUCCACUUUUCAGCGGAUAGCUAAUACCUUCCUGCCUACCUACUGCAAUAAACCAUCCACUUUAAAUAUUGUCUUUUCCUUAGUUAGCUAGACAGUAUUUCAUUAGUAAAAUAGCCUUGGAUUCAAGAUGUCCGAAUGUUCACCAAAAUUGUUGACCUAGAAAACUGACCAGGAAGGGGGCACUGUUCUAUCGGCUUGCCAUAGAAAAUGUGAGCUUCAACCCGAACCCAAACAUUUUCUGAACAGUAGGCCCUAUGGCAAGUAAGAAUGUAUAAUGAUCAUCACCAGCAUCAUAAAGGUAUGAACAAUUUUGUAAGAAAAGUGAUUAAAAGAAGUUAAUAUUAUUGCUUCACACAUGAUAAUUUUUUAGCCCACAACCUAAAUUACAUAUUCAUAAUUAGAAAAGGAUAUUGUGGAUUUGGGAUUCCUGAGGUUUAACGCCUCUCUCGGAGAGGCAGACAACUGCCUCUCCCCCAUGUUCAAACCAUACUUCCUCCAAUCAUUCUCUAUAGGGCGAGAAAAUCACAUUUUGUCACCUUUUGUACAAGCAAAAAACUGUCAAUUGGUGAUUGUAGACAAAUAAGCCCACUAAUAAUUAAUUUUGUGUCUGUCACAUUAGCACUAGAGCUAUAUUUUCUGUGUGCUACAGGAGUAGCUUUUG